UCAGCUGGUCAUUAUCCCCAAGUAGCAGAUAGCUAACAGAUUAUGAAAGUUCUUGCUCUUAAGUUGUAAUUGAACCAGGGAAUUACUUUGGUCUUGGAGCUGGGCGCUCAGCAUUAAAUUUAUAGAGUAAAGGAGGAUUCAAAGACAACAGGUUUUGGCUAGCGUAUGCCUGAAUAGGAAAUUUUAAUUAACUCAGUUUAUCAGAUUCAGCUACUGGCUAAUUCCCCCCCCCCAAAAAGAAUAUGUUAGCCAGUUGAAGCCUCUUAGUCAUAAAUUGUAUGCGACAUUCUUCUACCCCUAAGUAUUAUUUUAAACCAUAUUCCCACAUCUCGCCCUGGGUUGAUAAGUUCCAGGGACGGUGAUCCUGGAGGACAUAGCUGGUCUUGGUCACUGUGAUCUCGCUGGCAUCUGCAACGGUGCCUGGCACACUCUCGUGGAUUAUAAGCCCUACUCAAGUGUCGUCUAAACUGAACAGGCUCCUGCCUCUGUCCGUCCUCACCACACCCAAAGCUGGAGGGGAGAUCCUGCCUCAAUCCCCGCAACGUCUACUGCCUUACGGAAAACCACACCAGACCGCACACUCCUUUGAGUACGCAAAAUCAUGGGCUGAAACUUUCAGAGAAAUUUGCCACGACAUUUUCUGUGAAUGGAAACCAAAUUCUACUUAAAACAAGAGCACAAUCAAG